rnacentral:tRNA from 1 species
GGGGGUAUAGUUCAAUGGUUGAACAAUUGCCUAACAUGUGCAAGACCCUGGAUUCAAACCCCAGUACCACAU